AAUGAACGCUGGCGGCAUGCCUAACACAUGCAAGUCGAACGAGACCUUCGGGUCUAGUGGCGCACGGGUGCGUAACGCGUGGGAAUCUGCCCCUUGGUUCGGAAUAACUCAGAGAAAUUUGAGCUAAUACCGGAUAAUGACGUAAGUCCAAAGAUUUAUCGCCUAGGGAUGAGCCCGCGUAGGAUUAGCUAGUUGGUGGGGUAAAAGCCUACCAAGGCGACGAUCCUUAGCUGGUCNGAGAGGAUGAUCAGCCACACUGGGACUGAGACACGGCCCAGACUCCUACGGGAGGCAGCAGUGGGGAAUAUUGGACAAUGGGCGCAAGCCUGAUCCAGCAAUGCCGCGUGAGUGAGGAAGGCCUUAGGGUUGUAAAGCUCUUUCACCCGCGACGAUGAUGACGGUAGCGGGAGAAGAAGCCCCGGCUAACUUCGUGCCAGCAGCCGCAGUAAU
rnacentral:rRNA from 1 species